GACGAACGCUGGCGGCGUGCUUAACACAUGCAAGUCGAACGGAGUGGCGAACGGGUGAGUAACACGCGGGUGACCUGCCCUGCACUUCGUGAUAUGACUGGGCAACUGGGUCUAAUACCGGAUAGUGUGGGAUGGGCCCGCGGCCUAUCAGCUUGUUGGUGGGGUAAUGGCCUACCAGGGCGGCGACGGGUAGCCGGCCUGAGUGGGUGGACGGCCAAAUUGGGGCUGAGACACGGCCCAGACUCCUACGGGAGGGAGCAGUGGGGAAUAGUGCACAAUGGGCGCAAGCCUGAUGCAGGGACGCCGCGUGGGUGAUGACGGCCUUCGGGUUGUAAUCUCCAUGCACCAUCGACGCGGUAGAUGGAGAAGAAGCACCGGCUAACUACGUGCCAGCAGCCGCGGUAAUUC
rnacentral:rRNA from 1 species